GGACUACCAGGGUUUCUAAUCCUGUUUGCUCCCCACGCUUUCGCGUAUCAGCGUCAGCAAAGAUCCAGCGAGUCGCCUUCGCCACUGGUGUUCCUCCGAAUAUCUACGAAUUUCACCUCUACACUCGGAAUUCCACUCGCCUCUAUCUCGCUCCAGGCCGCCAGUUUUGAAGGCAGUUCCGAGGUUGAGCCUCGGGCUUUCACCCCCAACUUAACGGCCCGCCUACACGCGCUUUACGCCCAGUAAAUCCGAACAACGCUAGCCCCCUUCGUAUUACCGCGGCUGCUGGCAC
rnacentral:rRNA from 1 species